rnacentral:tRNA from 2 species
AGCGCAUUGGCGAAGCGGUAACGCACCGGACUUUGACUCCGGCAUGCGUGGGUUCGAAUCCCACAUGCGCCG